rfam:Schistosoma margrebowiei strain Zambia genome assembly, scaffold: SMRZ_scaffold0000214
AGCUUUCUGAAUCCAUGCUGAGAUUUCAUCAGAAACCAACCGAUUAGGGCUGAUCAGACUUCUAAGAUAAGUGAAGUG